UGCUGAUUCACUCAGUUCUUGAAGAAAAAAAAAAUCAAUUGUGUCAGAUCAUCUGGCUGUAUGAUAGGAAGCACUGUGGGAACAAGUCAAUUCGAUGUUAAUUUAGUACCUUGUAUUUGACACUGCUUGACACAGAUCUAAAUUUUACUUUCUGGCUCCAUGAGACAGCCAUGAUGAGCUGUGCUUCCGUCAUUUCACUACUGCUCUUGCUAACACCACCUCUCUCACCACAACCACAGUGACCGGUACUGCUUCGUCUACAACUUCUAGCUGACAAAGGCAUCCAGAAACGGCUUAUUGUCUGUUGUUACCACAAACUGAAGGAAGGUGAGGAUUCUGCAAAUUGAUCAGCCUCCUGGAUGCCAGCAGAGUCCUGGUCCUCAUCUGUUGGUGGCAGCAUAGGACAGCCCGACAUUGAAUGCUGCAGCCCGAGAGUUCCUUUAUCUACUUACCCUCGGCCCAGUGAUGGCUAAGAGCUAGAGGAAAGUACAUGGUUGGGGAUGACUAUGAACUGAAGAGCAGAGGACAUAGACCAUCUAAAGGGAACACCAUCUGCCAGGUAAGAUAUGACUGCUCUUUUAGAUCAUUGCACCCAGUUUUUAGACCUUCUGAUUCUCUACCUCCCCCCCCCCAAAAAAAAAGAAAGGAAAGAAGGAAAGAGAGAGAGAAAGCCAAGACAGAGACAUGUAUACAUACAUACAGAUAGACAUUCCAACUUUAAUACUGAAUCUCCUUAUUUAAAAAUAUUAGCAAGCAUUAAAAAAAAAAAACCUAUACAGGAGAAACAAACAUAUCUGCUCCCUUUCUUUGGUAUUUUCAUAGAACUCAAGAAGAGCAGUACUAAUGUUUACUGUCAUUGGGUUUCUGAUGUCCACUGUGUGAAACCUGUAUAGUAAUUUUCACAAUAGUUUUCCCCCAGAUCUCAGCUGAUAGGUUAUCCUUGGGAUUUUUUGUCUUAUGAAUUUGUAUGUUUGUUUGUGGGUCUUAAAUUUUAUCUGAACACAAGUUAUUUUGGUAAAUAUAUGUUAUUUAAAACAGUAUUUGGUGUAUAGUAAGCAAUGUUUAAAUGUUAACUAUUAUUAGUAGAAAGAUCUACAAGGUAUUUUCUGUAGGAAUUGUAAAUUAAUGUUCUAAUUAUUCUAUCAUGUUAUCCCAAAGAAAAUCACCUUUUUUUUCAUUUUCAAAAAAUUCAAGAAGUAUUUGAAUAUAUCUUUAAAAUUCUUUUGAUAUCCAGAAAUAGCUCUACUUUAUUUAAGGCUUUAAUGUGCAAAAAAUCCAAAGAGAACUUUGCUAGUUUGCAAGCUUAUUUUUCUUACGUUUUGCGUUUAUAUUAAAAUAACCUGCACAGCUUCAUUUCUUAUCUAGGUUGCUCACAGCUGGGCAGGCUUGGGGGAUUUUACCUUUGCAUCUGAGAGUACAAAUGUAUCUAUCAAUAUUCUAUUUCCCAAAGGCACGUAAUAUUCAUGAAUAAUCACAAUUAUCACAGGAAUGUUUAGAGGUUAUGACUGAGCCAUUCCUCCACAACUGCUGUAAAGAAAUUUGUAUUGGAAAAUAUGGCGCUUGAUGGUACCAGUCUAGUCCAGGGCCCACCUUCCCAUCUUCAAACCAGCAAUGAAGUGUUCUGCCUCCUUCCUUAUCUUGCAUUCACUUCUUCUUUAAGACUCCCAGUCUCUCCUUUGAGCAUCAAAAUCUUUCUCAUUUUCAGUGUUAGUUUCAGAUCCUGUUUCUUCCAGGUAAGUGUUUCUCUCCAUCAAAGUUAUAAUCGUCCUGUGUUAGUCUUAAUGUUUCCUUCUGGAAGUCCUCGAAUACAUUUUAGCCUUUAUUAGUGUCUGUUAGUCAUACAUGCCAAGGGAGCUUCAUUGUGACAUUUUCAUACAUUUCUGUAGUAAAUUUUGACCACAGUCACCCCACUGUCUCCUCUUUCUCUUGUAUUUUUGAAGCUAUUCACCAAGGCCUUACUAUGCAUAUAACUUUUACGACUCUCUACUGUGCCUUUAUGAUGUUCUAUAAUUUGCACAUAUAUCGUGAAGCUUCAUUCCCAUGUAAAUAAAUCACCUUUCUGCCUUGGUUUCGAAGUAUUGGCAUCAUGCUAACUACAUGAUUAUUCUUAGCCAUAAAGCCUCCUAGAGCCUUCAGGUGCAGUGCCACCUCUCAUGUUUCCCUUCUGUAACACGUGAGUUGAACACAAAAUAAUACUGAAUGAACUAUUCAAAAUUAUAUAAUCAGUUUAACAUGAAAUUUUCAUACCUUUUAUCUCACAAAAUUUUCCCUCUGUUUAGUGAUGUUCUUAAUAAUAAUGUUGAGUUCUUGCUUAAUUCUUGAAGUUUCCAGAUAGUUUGGGAGAUUAAAUUCAGAUUGUGAAAUUUAUCAUUGCCACACUUUCUGAUAGAAGGCUGCCUUGGUUUCUUUUCAAUUGCUGUAAAAAUACACACACACACACACACACACACACACACACACACACACAGUGUCCAAUGAAAUGUAUAAAAGAGUUCAUUUGAGGCUUAUAGUUUCAGAGGGAUAGAGUUCAUAGCCAAUGCUAUUGUCUUCUGAAGACAUAGGUGAUACAUGGAGACAAACAUCCCCAAAGUCAAUGCUCAUGUAAUGGUGAACUGAUGUGUGUUUCCCUGUCUCACUCCUCAUGAUGUCAGACAUUCCUGCUUGUCUGGUAUUGAACUCAUCCAUGUGUGUUGUCCCUGUGUGAUUAUUAACAGUGAUCCAUUUAACAUUUAUUUUACAAUGUGUCAAUUUAGAUAUUAAAUAAUAAUUGUCUCUCUGCAUUUUGAUGUCCUUGUAUCUAUUAUUGCCAAAUAUUAGUGUGGUACUGAAGACCUGUAAACUGAGAAUAUGUAAGUAAAUUGUAAUGAAGAGCAGACUUCUUCUGUAGAGCUAAAAUUUCUUUGAUGUUGCACUUUGUGGCAUUUAAUAAAUGACCCUCCAAGCAGAGUAUGUCAUUUUCUUUGUCAAGCAUGCUUAAUGACUCUGUAAAGGUUAUAACUGUGUAUAUGAAGUGGUCAGAUGAUUGGUAGGUAUACAGAUUAAUGCUAUUAUGGGAACAGCACAACAAUAAUUUAGAGCCUAGGGAACCAAAAGUCUUUGGAAGCCUUAGCUAACAAUGAGAAAUUCCUGAAUAGAACAGUCUAAUAAAUGGACCUCUUCAGAAACUUUCUGACUCCCUAUAGACCCCCAAGUUCAAGUAAAGUAUCUGGGCAUUCCUUUUUAGGUGAACCCUAUAAUUGGCGUUGCUCAGAUCAUCUUGCUAAUAAUUACCAGGAUUCAAGAUUUAGUGUAUUUUCUCUGAGCUCCACAUGACAGGAACGUUACUUACUUAUCUUUCCAGUGCUCUUUCCCUUGUUCAUCUAUCUCAGGAAUUAAUAAUAAUAAUAAAAAAAGCAAACAAGCAAACAAAACCAAAAUCAAAACCAAAAAGAACCCUCCAAAACAAACAAACAGACAAACAAACAAAACAAAGCAAAACAGAACAAAAUGAAACAAAACAAAACCCUGCUAAUGGUUGUCAUGUUCCAGGCUCUGAAGCUAUUAUUCAAAGUACCCAGCAUGAGGCCUGUUUAGCUUCCCUCUGUACUCCUUUCCUUGAAUGCUAUAAUAAAGGCUUAUUUCCCAUCAGUGCAAAAACACAGCUCUACCUUCUAAAGGAAUAAGAGUAGUUAUUCUAGAGUGACACAUGCAUGACCAUGGCCUGGGAACAUGGAUUUAGAGCACCCCUACUGCUAUCUUUCAAUGUGGUAAUAAUCCUACAAUAUUCUCAUAGUUUCAGAACAACAACAAAAGUCAUACAUCAAAUCUAUGGGAGAAGCGUGAAGCAGGCAGGUUGCAACAAAGUAGGGAAGUCUCUGCUCUAGUUAGGUGCUGCAGACAUUCCUAGCACUUGGGUUGGUGAAAGAGAAGGGCUCUGUUAGUAGAUUUUGGACAAACACAGGACUUACCAAAAAGAAUUUGGCUUCACAUCUGCAACUUUCUAACAUUCCAUAAUCAGCAAUCAAUUGAUCAGUCAGUCAAUCAUCCUCAAAUAAUCUUUAAUCUUUGCAUAGGUAUGACAUCCUCUGGGAAUUUCAGUUCACUCUCCAUAUAUUUCACUUGUUCUCUUAGCCU